UACGAAGGGGGCUAGCGUUGCUCGGAAUUACUGGGCGUAAAGGGCGCGUAGGCGGACAGUUUAGUCAGAGGUGAAAGCCCAGGGCUCAACCUUGGAAUUGCCUUUGAUACUGGCUGUCUUGAGUACGGGAGAGGUGAGUGGAACUCCGAGUGUAGAGGUGAAAUUCGUAGAUAUUCGGAAGAACACCAGUGGCGAAGGCGACUCACUGGCCCGUUACUGACGCUGAGGCGCGAAAGCGUGGGGAGCAAACAGGG
rnacentral:rRNA from 1 species